GAGACCCUCUGUGGCUUUCUCGUCUUUAACAUGUGUCUUCACAGAGCCGUGUACAGUUUCCUUAGUGGUUUAACAGAUUGCCAAUUCUCAAAGCUAAUUACUGAUUGUUUUUUUGUCAGACAUGGAGGAAACUGCUAGCAGCUUCUCUUAGGACAUCACUUCCAUGAUGCAAAACCACCAGAACAGCACAGAGCACAGAGCUCCUUUGUCCACAUGUAGUGCUCAUGUGCCCGAGGCCUCAAAAUCCCACCUUGGGAGAUCUCUGCACCAUCUCCAAGGUGUUUUCAAAUGAAAAACAUUCAGCUCAGAGUCUAAGAAAAUCACCAGAGGACAGGGCCAGCCUUACCUGUCUGUCCUGGCUAUAUUUGUCUGGGACCAAUGCUUGGAUAUACGGAAUUUGGGAGACCAAAUUCUAAUUUUGGCCAUGGUCCCUUGGCAGAAAGGCCAGUUGUUUUCCAAAGGAAUGAAAGAACAGAGCCCCAGUAUUUCAGGGGCAGAUGAGAGGUGACCACCUUGCAUAGAGGAAAUUUUUUAGGGAAAGUAUCAGUUUUGCCAAUGGGCAUCUAAAAAGAGGGAUAGUUCUUUACUGUAGCAUGGAAAGCAUGCAGCCCCAGUGCUCCAGGAGCUGAUGAGAGCCAGUCCUUGACAUUCCAAGAUCAGCCAGACCUGUCAGGUGGCCCCUGGGAGGCCAAGCCAACCAGACCUGUUCCAUGUUCCAUUGGCUCCAUGGGGCCCCAUAGUGUCCCAAUGGUCCCUUGCUUCCAUGAGGCCCUGAGGUGUCAUAAUUCCCCCUUGGUGACAUGAGGCCUUGAAGGGUCCUAAUGCUCUCCAUGGUUCCAUCAGGCCCCACAGAGUCAUAAUGGUCUCUGGGCUCCAUGAAGCCCUGCUGUGUCACCACGGCCCCUUGGUUCCAUGGGCUCCAGUGGUGCCACAAUGAUCCCCUUGGUUCCAUGAGGUCCCCACAGUGUCCCAGGGAUCUCCAUGGGAAGGAAAGAACCAAGCCCCAGUGUUGUAGGGGCAAUCACCAGAGGCCAAGGCCAGCCAGACUUGAUGGUACUGGCAGAUUUUGCCUGGGAGCAGCCCUUGGAUAUACAGAAUUUUGGAGGAAGGAAAAUGCAGAGCCCAAGAAUUUCAAAGGCAGAAGAGGAGACAGGUGGCUCCUGGGAGGCCAAGCCAGCUAGACCUGUUUGUCCUGGCAACUUUUGUCAUUGAGGAAUCCUUGGAUAUACGGAAUUUGGGAGGAGGAAUCUCAAUUUUGACCACAGACACCUUGAGAAGAAGAAUGAUUCUUUUCCAUUGGAAGGGAAGCCCUGAGUCCCGGUGUUUGGAAAGGAGGUAAGAGGCAGCCCCCAAGAGGCCAAGGGCAGUCAGACUUGUCUGUCCUGGCAGCUUCCACUGGGGAGCAAUCCUUGGAUGUACAGAGUUUUGGAGGUGCAAUCCCAGUUUUGGCCACGGAUGCCUGGUCAAGAUGGAUAGUUUUUUCCUCUUGGAAAGAAAAGCGUGAAUUCCAAGUGUUCUAAAAAAAGAUGAGAGGUGGCCACCCAUAGGCCAAGCCAGCCAGACCUCUCUAUCCUGGCACCUUUCAUCUAGGGACUAUCCUUGGACAUAGGGCAUUUUGGAGAUGGAAUCUCAGUUUUGGCCAUGGGCACCUGGACAGGAAGAAGAGUUCUUUAUUUUAGCAAGGAAAGCACAGAGCCCCAGUGUUUCAAAGGUAGAUGAGUGCCAGCUCUUCAGGUAGCCAAGUCCAGCCAGACUUGUCUGUCCUGGCAGCUUUUGCCUGGGAGCUAUCCUUGGAUACAGGGAAUUUUGGAGGCAGAUUCCCAAUUUUGGUCAUGGGUGCCUGCUCAAGAUGGAUGGUUUUUUUCCCCAUAAGAAAGAAAAGCACAUGGUCCCAGUGUUUCAAAGGCAGAUGAGAGAUGGCCCCUGGGUAUCCAAAGCAGCCAAAUCUGUCUCUCCUGGCAGAUUUCAUCUGGGAACAAUCUUUGCAUUUAAGGAAAUUUGGCAAGGAAUCCCAGUUUUGGCCAUGGGCCCCUGGUGGAGAAGGACAGCUCUCUCCCUUAGGAAGGAAAGCCCAGAGCCCCAGUGCUUCAUGGGCAGAUGAGAAGCAGCCCUGUGAGAGACGGUCUGAAGUUCCCCUCAUUUUGCCUCACAACUGUCUCAAGAGCAGACAUCAGGACCACUGUAAAGACCCUGACUGGAAUUCUGGCUUUGCUUGAGAUGGUUGCUUGUCAAGAUCCUGAGGCCUGAGCAGAGCUUCUGGCUUGCCAAGCUAUUUGCAGGUGUGUUUGCUGCCAUGGAACACUGAACCUAAUGAAAAGGAAAAGGGGCACCUUGUCCUUUUUUGCCUGCACCCAUUUCACACCAAUAGCCCUGGAAUUUCCCCACCUCUCAGCUUGGCUGGACUUUUCUGGGGUAACUCUUGGUGGUCCCCAUGGGAGACCCUUCAUCUGUUUUACAACCACUGUGACAGACAGACUGAGAUGGGAGAAGCCUCUCCCUCAAGGACUGAGACAUGAAACCCCUAUAUGGAGGAGCUCCCCCUCCUCCCAAGGACUGAGAUUGAAACCCCUAACGUGGGGGAGCUGUGUGGGGGAGGCAAGCUGACCAAAGUGAGAUGUUUGCUUGCAGGAGUAACCAUUGGACCAAGAAGACAAUGGUUCUUACCUACUGCUGAGAAUAUGGACUAUCUGUACCCUUCUUCAAUGCCUUCUCUUUUUUUUUAUCUUUCCAUCAGCAAUUACAAUAGACUACUCUUUAUUACAUUUGAUUCCAUUUCUGCACUUGUCCCCUUCCCCCACCAAAAAGGACUACAACAGAAGCUUGAGUUGACCAGUAUCUCUGAGAUCUCCCCUGAUGUGACCAGGUGAACUCCAAUGACUGAAGACUUUGAAGGACUUUGUCUCUCUACGUUUGGUAGCUACAUACCUUCUUUUCUCUUCUUCUCUCUCUUUUUUUCCCCCUAUUCUUCCCUUUUUCCCUGUCCCCCCUAGAACAUUUUCCUGUGGCCAUUCAAUAAAGGUAGAUUUAUUUUUUAUUAUUACUGCAAA